UAAACAAACCAUUACCUUGUCACCUCCAAGAAAAAAACCCACCACAGCCAUGGCUAUGAAGUCAAAAUAAGACCCAUCACCAGCUUUCAUAGAAACAAUACAAGAAAUCAUGAGACUUUACAAAUCACUUCCACCAAGACCUUCCAUUGAAGAAGUUGAAGCAACCAAGACUGUUCUACAAACUGCAGAAAAUGAAGAAAAAACCAAGCUUGAAGCUAUCUCUAAAGAACAAUACCACCACCAACCCCUUGAAGGUGUCCCUGAUGAACUCUUGUCUAUUCUACAACAAGUGAGGAAAACCAUGGUGUUGUUUCAAAGCCAUGAACAAAAGAAAGAAGCCUUUUACUUGGUUGAAGUUGAUGAUAUGUUUGAGAGUUGAGACCUUUGAUGGGUUGAUUCAAAGGGCUUCUUUAUUGGUUUCUGGGGAUAACUUGGAAGAGAAAGUGUGGGGAUUUGAUGGAGAAACUGUGAUUAAUGAUGAUAGUUUGGUUACAAGUUCUUCUACAAAGGCUUCUUGCAACUCAGGUAAAGUUCUUUUUUUUUUUGUUUGAUGUGGAAAUUAAUUUUGUUGAUACACGGAAGAGAGGGUGGUGACGAUGGUCAGUUCACUCUGUCUGAUGAAGGAGGUGGUUGGAGCUGUAAAGGAAGGUUAAAAAAGGAUUGAAGUAGAUAAUUUCUUGAUCCUUUCCAUAGGCUGCAUGAGCGAAUUUAGAAAUCUUUUUAGGUUAAAAUGGAAUAAUAAAAUUUUGAGAAAUUAAAAUAUAAUUUUAUAAUGAGAUUUUAUAUGGUAAUUUUUCCAUUUGAGGGGGGCCAAGCUUCUAUUGCCUAUCCCCCUUAAAUUCACCACUGUUAGGCUCUCAGCCUUAUAUAUGUUGAUUGUCUAUUGUCUCGAGGUGUCAUGUGGCAAAUCGAUAUUGAUAGAUCAAAAUCAAGUGGCACAACACUAUAGGUCUAGGUAAGGUGAUGAUAUGAUGUAAUUUGAGUAGUCUCGGAUGGAACAUGAUGGUUGAAACUUGAUAUGGUAGUUAAUGAAUACACUUGCUUGCCAGUCAAGUUGCUAACUGAGGAGGGUCUUCACAAGGGAUCUUCAAUGAGAAUCCUCUCUAACUAUUUGUGUUGUGACUGCUCGGGGGACUUAAUGAGGUGUAACAAGUUUCUUUUCUUCUUUUUAUUGUUACAUGCAUUGUUGUUUAAAUUGGACCGGAUUGAGAAUCGGGCGGGGUACUAGUUUGGAAAGAGGUAUUAGACCGAUUGACCCAUAAAUUGGUAAAGAUCAAUUGAAUUAGGCUAAGAAUUGGUUCAAUCAAUUUUUUAAUUUUUUUAAAUUUUUAAUAAUUUAUUUAAUUAAACUGUAUAAACUGAUCAGACUAGUGAAUUGGUGGUCUGACCAAUUCAACCAUUAGUCUCGUUCUAAAAAGCUUCGCCUCAUGUUAUUAGAUGAUGAAAUCAAAGGAGUUAUUACUUAUUAUGAAUCUAUCGUAAUAUCAUGUCAAUAAGAACUCAAGCAACUCAAGUCAUUUGUCACUAUAUUGGAUUUUAUAGUCUUCAAUACGAUAAGAAAUAGGAAAGUGCAAGUAGUCCUAAACAAAUACUUUUGGUGUAUUUUUGUAGGUGAAGAUAGUAGUGAAAAACUAAACCUAAUGAAGACAACAACCCUUAUUGAAAACACUGAAAAAAUGGGAGCAAUAGUUCUUGAUCUUAAGGCCAAGUUGAUGGACCAAAUAGAAUGGUUACCUGUUUCAAUUGGGAAAUUAAACAGUGUGACCGAACUAGAUUUAUCCGAAAAUCGAAUAAUGGCGUUGCCGCCUUCUAUCGAUGGUCUUCAAGCAUUGACAAAGCUCGAUCUUCACUCAAACCAACUCAUAAACCUUCCUGAUGGAAUUGGGGAACUUGUCAACCUACUAGAGCUUGAUCUCCAUGCAAAUCGAUUAAGCUCAUUACCUGCUUCGUUCGGAAACUUGAAGAACCUAAUGAAUCUCGAUUUGAGUUCAAACAACUUCACUCAUUUGCCAGAUACAAUUGGUAACUUGACUUCUUUGAAGAGACUAAUUGUUGAAACAAAUGAACUUGAAGAACUUCCAUACACAAUUGGAAAUUGCUCCUCAUUAUUGGUGUUGAGGUUGGAUUUUAAUAGGAUAAAGGCGUUGCCCGAGGCGAUCGGAAAGCUCGAAUGCUUGGAGAUACUUACAUCACACUAUAAUAGGAUCAAAGGGUUGUCAACAACAAUGGGAAACCUUUCAAAUUUAAAAUAGCUUGAUGUUGGCUUCAAUGAGAUUGAAUCCAUCCCUGAGACCCUUUGUUUUGCAAUAAGUCUAAGAAAAUUGAAAGUUGGGAAGAACUUUGCGGACCUUAGAGCCUUGCCGAGAUCGAUUGGAAACCUCGAGAUGCUUGAAGAGUUAGAUAUAAAUGACAAUCAGAUAGGAGUUUUACCCGAUUCUUUUCGAUUCUUAUCCAAAUUGAGAGUUUUUCAUGUCGAUGAGACUCCAUUGGAAGUUCCAUCAAGAGAAGUAAUCAAAUUAGGUGCUAAGAUAUGCUAAUUCAUUAUUAUAUCACCUUGAAUUGAUCUUGCUAGUUUACACUCAUUCAAAUUCUUUUGUACAUUUUAGGCAGUUGUUCAAUUCAUGGUUGACCUUGUUGCUAAUAGAGAUACCAAAUCUCCAUCACCAAAGAAAAAGAAGAGUUUUUAUUUCGAGUUCCGAUCAAUUUUUCGACAAUCUCGGACUGCGAGUACUGAGAACAUGUAGCAAGUGAAUUCCUACUAUAAAGCAUUUUAUCAAUUUAUAUAUAUGUAUAUGUAUAUCUGCUCUACAUAGCUUCAGGUGUUCGAUUUCUUUUCUAAGAUUUGCUUACAACAUGAGAUAUAUUACUUGUAUAUUAUUUGUGGGAUGAUUUCAAAGCUUUGUGUAGACUUUGUAAUGUAUUUUUGUUCUAACUCAACUCAAAGUUAGACAGUAUUAUUUUUUUCCGAGUUAUUUCGAAAGCAUGUCUUUCAAAAUUGCUAAUCAAAUCAUUUUUUAGUCUGACAGGGGUGAAUUUAAGUGGACAAACCCCCUAAAUGAAAAUUUGAAUUAAAUAUAUAUAUGAUAACAUCUUUUUAGUCCUUUAAAAUGAUGAAUUAUAAACUAGUAAAUGAUAAAAUUAUAUUUUAAUCUCUCCAAAAUUUAUAAUUAUUAUUUUUAGAUUCAUCUCUAGAUUCAAGUUCUUUGAAGAUUCGAGUAAUUUUGGAUUCACGUAAUUUCUUAUUCAAAUAAUUAUUAAACAAGUUUGAGUUGAUAACUUUUUAUGACCAAAUAGGUUAUGUCAUAUUUUAAAUUUAGAUUGAUACGAUGGACUUUUCAAAUUCCGAUAAGAAUUGACAGAUUCUAUAAUGCAAUUAAAUUAAUAAUUAAAACACACACUUCAUUUUUAUAUGCUUUUUACACUGUGAUUAAAAAAAAUCCCAGAACAGCAUGAAAAGAACUUCAAAACAAUUGCCAUACAUAAUAUAGUGUAUAAAACAAUAUUAUUUGGCAACAAUAUGUUAUGAAGAUGAUGUUAAUUGAAUUAAAAUCAAAAGUUGACUAAUUAAAUAGCUUUUGUUGUUUUUUCAAGGGAAAAAAAACUGUGGGCUUUAAUUUAAUCAAGUCAAUUUCAACAAUUUAGCUGGUUUCUCAAAUGUGGAACUUGAGCUAGAGUUUUGUGGAUAAACCCCUUUUCCUCUCUCUCUCUCUCUCUUUUUCUCAUUAUUGUCAAACUCAAGAAAGAAUCAUAGGGUCUAAAUUAAUCAAAUUUGAAAUUGAUAUGAAAUUGAAAUGAUUUGAAUUUGAAAUAACUUGAAAAUUGUUUAAAUUUUAAAUUAAUUAAUAAUUCAAUUCAAAAAUCCAAACUUUAAAUUCGGAUGUCGAACUUGAAAUUAAAAUAAUCUGAAUUUAAAUUGAUUCAAACUAAAUUUUUUUGAAAUUUUUAAAAGCCGAAAUAAUUUAUCCAUAUUAAGAUUCAUCAUAAAAAAAGAAAAAAAAAACAAAAAUAUGCUCAAAUCAUGUAUGAUUUUUGUCUUCGAAUUUAGUAAAAAAAUAACCUUAUAAUGACAAGUAAAUUAAAUAAUUUUAAAUUGGUGCCUACUUUUUGGAAUUAAGUCUAAACUUAAUUUUCAGGCCCUAAUUAAAUAUGGAAUCCAACUUUAUUAAUUAAGAUUAAUGAAAAAGUUGACUUUAGAAAUUAUAGAACAUGAAGCAUUCAAACAUAAGCCACCAUUUCUCGGGUAAAAUUCAAAAACGAAUUAAAUAUUAUUAGUAAAAAUUAAUAAAUAUUAUUUAAAAACUAUUUUUUAUCUUUUACAUAAAAUCUAUUUAUAUUUUACAUAAAAUCAAUUUAAAUCAAGUGAGACUUUAAUUUAUUUUUAAUAUAAUAUUUUUAUAAAUAUAUAUUAUAUAAUAUUUUUUAUCCAUAUUGUGUCAACUAUUUUAAAAAAAAAAUUCAGGUGAUAAAGGUGAUUAAUUUCAAAGUGACUUGUUAAAAAAAAGUGUGACGAAAUCUAAAAUCGGGUGAAAUUAAAAAAUAUAUUACAAAUCUCAUUGGUUAAAAAACAAAUUGCUUUGUCCCUUGUUGAAACUUCAAAAUCUUUUGUAAACAAACCAUUUCCUUGUCACCCCCAAGAACCCCAAGAAAAAAACCCACCAUAGCCAUGGCUGUGAAGUCAAAACAAAACCCAUCACCAGCUUUCAUAGAAACAAUACAAGAAAUCAUGAGACUUUACAAAUCACUUCCACCAAGACCUUCCAUUGAAGAAGUUGAAGCAGCCAAGACUGUUCUACAAACUGCAGAAAAUGAAGAAAAAACCAAGCUUGAAGCUAUCUCUAAAGACCAAUACCACCACCAACCCCUUGAAGGUGUCCCUGAUGAACUCUUGUCUAU
rnacentral:lncRNA from 1 species